rnacentral:rRNA from 1 species
CCUACGGGGGGCAGCAGUGAGGAAUAUUGGUCAAUGGACGCAAGUCUGAACCAGCCAUGCCGCGUGCAGGAAGACGGCUCUAUGAGUUGUAAACUGCUUUUGUACGAGGGUAAACGCAGAUACGCGUAUCUGUCUGAAAGUAUCGUACGAAUAAGGAUCGGCUAACUCCGUGCCAGCAGCCGCGGUAAUACGGAGGAUUCAAGCGUUAUCCGGAUUUAUUGGGUUUAAAGGGUGCGUAGGCGGUCGGAUAAGUUAGAGGUGAAAUCCCGAGGCUCAACUUCGGAAUUGCCUCUGAUACUGGUCGGCUAGAGAGUAGUUGCGGUAGGCGGAAUGUGUGGUGUAGCGGUGAAAUGCUUAGAGAUCGUGCAGAACACCGAUUGCGAAGGCAGCUUACCGAGCUACUUCUGACGUUGAGGCACGAAAGCGUGGGGAGCGAACAGGAUUAGAUACCCGAGUAGUC